GAUGAACGCUAGCGGCAGGCCUAACACAUGCAAGUCGAGGGGUAACAGGGAAAAGCUUGCUUUUCCGCUGACGACCGGCGCACGGGUGCGUAACGCGUAUGCAACCUACCUUUUACAGGAGUAUAGCCCAGAGAAAUUUGGAUUAAUCCUCCAUAAUAUUUUAUUCAUGCAUAUGAUAAAGAUUAAAGUUUCGGCGGUAAAAGAUGGGCAUGCGUUUUAUUAGCUAGUAGGUGAGGUAAUGGCUCACCUAGGCCACGAUAAAUAGGGGCCCUGAGAGGGGGAUCCCCCACACUGGUACUGAGACACGGACCAGACUCCUACGGGAGGCAGCAGUGAGGAAUAUUGGACAAUGGACGAAAGUCUGAUCCAGCCAUGCCGCGUGCAGGAUGACGGCCCUAUGGGUUGUAAACUGCUUUUAUACAGGAAGAAAAACUCCGACGUGUCGGAACUUGACGGUACUGUAAGAAUAAGGAUCGGCUAACUCCGUGCCAGCAGCCGCGUAAAC
rnacentral:rRNA from 1 species